rnacentral:rRNA from 1 species
UACGAAGGGGGCUAGCGUUGUUCGGAGUUACUGGGCGUAAAGGGCGCGUAGGCGGCGCACCAAGUCAGGCGUGAAAGCCCUGGGCUCAACCCGGGAAUUGCGCUUGAGACUGGUGUGCUUGAGUACGGGAGAGGAUAGUGGAAUUCCCAGUGUAGAGGUGAAAUUCGUAGAUAUUGGGAAGAACACCGGUGGCGAAGGCGGCUAUCUGGACCGUAACUGACGCUGAGGCGCGAAAGCGUGGGGGAGCAAACAGG